rnacentral:lncRNA from 1 species
CUCAUUGUAUGCAGUAGUACUGCAUUGUUCUCUUUUGCGCCAGCCUUGCACCGAGCUUGCUUUUUCUUUGGUAGUGCAACAAUCCUUUCCCUAUUCUCUCCAAUGCAGGAAACAAAACCCUAAUCUUUGUCUGCUUUGUUGAAAAACCCAGGCCAGUGUCAGAGCAAAAAACCCAUAUCUUUACUUCAUCAAUCUCCAUCACGCUACUCUCUCUAUCUCAAACAAUUCCCACAUUCCGAAUCGAAGACCCAUCUCACUCUAUUUGGCAGCUUGAAAUAUAUAAAAUCAGGC